rnacentral:siRNA from 1 species
CACACAUUGAUAGUGUCGACCGAC